GACGAACGCUGGCGGCGUGCUUAACACAUGCAAGUCGAGCGGUAAGGCCCUUCGGGUACACGAGCGGCGAACGGGUGAGUAACACGUGGGUGACCUGCCUCUAGCUCUGGGAUAAGCCUGGGAAACUGGGUCUAAUACCGGAUAUGACUCCACGGCGCAUGUUGUGGGGUGGAAAGCCUUGUGUGGCUAGAGAUGGGCCCGNGGCCUAUCAGCUUGUUGGUGGGGGAUGGCCUACCAAGGCGACGACGGGUAGCCGGCCUGAGAGGGCGACCGGCCACACUGGGACUGAGACACGGCCCAGACUCCUACGGGAGGCAGCGAGUGGGGAAUCUUGCGCAAUGGGCGAAAGCCUGACGCAGCGACGCCGCGU
rnacentral:rRNA from 1 species